rnacentral:lncRNA from 1 species
GAGGGUCUUUGGUUUUUAUAUGGGGUAUCUCUUGGGUACAAAAGAGGAUGUCUAAUUAUGAAUGUAAGGGCUCCAAUAGUUGGCUCCUAAUAGGCUUCCUAAUGUAAGUUGGACAACUUAAGUUAAUAAGAAUCCUAAUGCAAGUAGGACUUGUAUUAUGAGAUUGAAUAGGAUUCAAUCUUUAUGCCUAUUUAAAGAGACCUCCCCUA